rnacentral:lncRNA from 1 species
GAUCAAAGAACUAUAAAGCCGCUGCCGGGAAGAGUACAGCUCUUUCCUGUGCAGCUUCCUGAUUGAAACAAACUGUGUUACAGUGGACUGGAGCCUGGAUCCUCCGUGAGCUUACACAGCUGUGUUGCACUGAGAUAUGGUAAAGAGCUCAGUCACAGUGAUUUAUUGACACAAAAUCAGAAGGAGAAUCUUCUAAAUGGCCAGUCAGCUGAAGAAGCCAGACUGGGAACAUCUGUAUCUUCCCACCUGAAAACCUCACCUGUUGCUUGCUCCUACAGAGUACCUGGAAACACUGGGAAUGAUUGGAACGCUCAGUGACUGCAACUGCACACUGAAGGUAGGCUCUUCCCUGCAAGCCUCCUUCCCCAUACCUGAUACUUAUGCUCUGUUAAGUUUAGUGCCUUCUCAAGUACCUUCUUGAGAUGGUCAAAUGCUGCUCCUGAUGAUGUUGUCACGGUGUGGCACAGUCAGUACCUGUUUAGAAAGACCAAGCUUCACCUACUGCGUGGGCUGCAACAUGACAUUUGCAAUCUGAUUAGCUGAAAUGUCAUUAGCAUGGGUUUUCCUGGCAGAUUCAUGACCUGAGGACCAUCUGCCUGACAAAUUUCAGUUCUCUGCCACAAGGAGCAAUUAUAGGAAGAAAUCCACAACAUUUUUUUUUCUGUUGUUUUUGUUUGUUUCUGUCUUUGUUUCUUUGUUUUUGACAAACCUCUCUUGGAAACAGCCAAACUGAUUAAACAGAAAAUAAGAUAUCUGCCCCAAACUCAACCAAACCAAAUCAAACCCAACUAGCAGACAACAAGCUGUUGGCAGGCACUAAGCUUGAAACAUGUGAGCUGGAACU